rnacentral:rRNA from 1 species
AGUGAACGCUGGCGGUAGGCCUAACACAUGCAAGUCGAACGGCAGCACAGAGGAGCUUGCUCCUUGGGUGGCGAGUGGCGGACGGGUGAGGAAUACAUCGGAAUCUACUCUGUCGUGGGGGAUAACGUAGGGAAACUUACGCUAAUACCGCAUACGACCUACGGGUGAAAGCAGGGGAUCUUCGGACCUUGCGCGAUUGAAUGAGCCGAUGUCGGAUUAGCUAGUUGGCGGGGUAAAGGCCACCAAGGCGACGAUCCGUAGCUGGUCUGAGAGGAGAACGAGCCACACUGGAACUGAGAAACGGGCCAGACUCCUACGGGAGGCAGCAGGGGGGAAUAUUGGACAAUGGGCGCAAGCCUGAUCCAGCCAUACCGCGUGGGUGAAGAAGGCCUUCGGGUUGUGAAGCCCUUUUGUUGGGAAAGAAAUCCAUCUGGUUAAUACCCGGAUGGGAUGACGGUACCCAAAGACUAAGCACCGGCUAACUUCGUGCCAGCAGCCGCCGUAA